AGUGAACGCUGGCGGUAGGCCUAACACAUGCAAGUCGAACGGCAGCACAGUAAGAGCUUGCUCUUACGGGUGGCGAGUGGCGGACGGGUGAGGAAUACAUCGGAAUCUACUUUUUCGUGGGGGAUAACGUAGGGAAACUUACGCUAAUACCGCAUACGACCUACGGGUGAAAGCAGGGGAUCUUCGGACCUUGCGCGAUUGAAUGAGCCGAUGUCGGAUUAGCUAGUUGGCGGGGCAAAGGCCCACCAAGGCGACGAUCCGUAGCUGGUCUGAGAGGAUGAUCAGCCACACUGGAACUGAGAUACGGUCCAGACUCCUACGGGAGGCAGCAGUGGGGAAUAUUGGACAAUGGGCGCAAGCCUGAUCCAGCCAUACCGCGUGGGUGAAGAAGGCCUUCGGGUUGUAAAGCCCUUUUGUUGGGAAAGAAAAGCAGCAGGUUAAUACCCCGCUGUUCUGACGGUACCCAAAGAAUAAGCACCGGCUAACUUCGUG
rnacentral:rRNA from 1 species